CGGGUGAGUAACGCGUGAGGAAACUGCCUCAAAGAGGGGGACAACAGUUGGAAACGACUGCUAAUACCGCAUAAGCCCACGGCUCGGCAUCGAGCAGAGGGAAAAGGAGUGAUCCGCUUUGAGAUGGCCUCGCGUCCGAUUAGCUGGUUGGUGAGGUAACGGCCCACCAAGGCGACGAUCGGUAGCCGGACUGAGAGGUUGAACGGCCACAUUGGGACUGAGACACGGCCCAG
rnacentral:rRNA from 1 species